rnacentral:tRNA from 1 species
GGGGCGUUAGCUCAGUUGGUAGAGCGGCGGACUCUUAAUCCGUAGGUCGAGUGUUCGAGUCACUCACGCCCCACCA